ACCACCCGCACCACCCGCACCACCUGCACCCACCCUCCGAGUAGCACCACAAAUAGGGGUCCCAUCGACGCCUCCUAUACUACUAACGUUUGAGGCCUUUCCGCAAGGAAAAUUACAUUACCGACAGAUGGAAGUUGCCAAAGUUAAAGCACUUCAGUAUGAAUCGGGUAAUUAUGAUGCCCAUAUUGAUACCACACCAUUUCUUGAAGAAAUUCAGUGGUGGUUGACGGUUUCCUCUGAUGGAGUAUAUUGUAAUAUAAAAUUACCAUCCAUCGAUAUUGUUAUCUCCACAGAUGCCAGUAAACUGGGACGGGGAGCAGUCUGUCAUACAGACAAUUCUUAUGCACAGGAAUCCUGGACAAGAUUUCCAGAGACAGGACAGACUUAUGUCUAGUAAUCGCCCCCUUGUGGCCAACCCAAGCCUGGUUCCCUCAGCUACUCUCAAUGUGUGUAGCACAACCAAUCCAACUGCCACAGACUGCUCUGAACCAACCUCAGCAAAAUCCUGUUGGGCAACACCCUCUCAUUGUUCGCCUACUAAAAGGGAUUUUUCAUUCCACACCACCAAAACCAAGAUAUUCAAAAAUGUGGAAAGUAUCUACUUUAUUAAAUCACAUUUCAAGUUUACCUGAUAAUAAAGAUUUUUCGCAACUCAUCCUUAGCGAAAAAUUGGUUAGCCUGUUGGCUCUCGUAACGGCACAGCGAACUCAGACGCUUGCGGCCCUAGACAUACGAUAUUUUGACUUUUCAGAUAAUGAUUGUUAUAUUACAGUUAUGGAAUUACUUAAAACUAACUGUCCUAAGAGAGGUAUCUCUAAUAAUAAAUUAACUCUGCCAGCCUUUGAGGAAAACCAUAAGUUAUGCGUUUUUUCAACCUUGAAAGAUUACCUUGGCAGAACAGAAAAGAUAAGAAAUUCUGUCACUGAACUAUUUAUUUCCACUAGAAAACCACAUAAAGGUGUGACAACUGGUACAUUGGCAAGAUGGAUGAAAAGUAUACUCCGUGCAGCGGGGAUAGACACAAAUGUCUAUACUGCUCAUAGUUUCAGAAGUGCAUCAACUUCAACGGCUUUAGCUCAGGUUGUAUCACUUCAAGAUAUACUUCAUACUGCAGACUGGACUAAUGCCAAUACCUUUGCAAGGUUCUGCAACAAACAAACAGAAGAUUCGACCUUUGCAGCUUCAGUUCUUAGUGCAAACUAAACGAAAGAGUUGCACGAGUAUUGGGACAGUUAUUUUGUAAUCUGUCUGCUUGUAUUUUGUCUAAGUAUCAAAAUUAUAAUAUAAUACUAAGUUACAUUAUCAGAGAUAAUGGCUCUUUUGACAGUUCUUUGCAAUCUGUCUGCUUGUGUUUUGUCUAAGUAUCAAAGAUAAAUAUCAAUUAAGUUACAUUAUCAGAGAUAAUGGUUCUUUUAUGUGAACAGUAAUACUGACAAAUAAAGAAUCGUUUGGAUUCAUGACAUUA